AUUGAACGCUGGCGGCAGGCCUAACACACGCAAGUCGAGCGGAUGAAGGGAGCUUGCUCCUGGAUUCAGCGGCGGACGGGUGGGUAAUGCCUAGGAAUCUGCCUGGUAGUGGGGGAUAACGUCCGGAAACGGGCGCUAAUACCGCAUACGUCCUGAGGGAGAAAGUGGGGGAUCUUCGGACCUCACGCUAUCGGAUGAGCCUAGGUCGGAUUAGCUAGUUGGUGGGGUAAAGGCCUACCAAGGCGACGAUCCGUAACUGGUCUGAGAGGAUGAUCAGUCACACUGGAACUGAGACACGGUCCAGACUCCUACGGGAGGCAGCAGUGGGGAAUAUUGGACAAUGGGCGAAAGCCUGAUCCAGCCAUGCCGCGUGUGUGAAGAAGGUCUUCGGAUUGUAAAGCACUUUAAGUUGGGAGGAAGGGCAGUAAGUUAAUACCUUGCUGUUUUGACGUUACCAACAGAAUAAGCACCGGCUAACUUCGUG
rnacentral:rRNA from 1 species